AAGGCCAAUGUUUUGGCCCUACUGGUGAAAAUAUGUAGACCUAACAUCUAUCUCCCUGCUCCAGUUUCAAGAGAAAAGACCUUAUUCAGAGAAAUAUUUAGAAGACUCUUGUGGAAUUCUUGCUGUGAGUGGUUUUUCCUUCCCUGCCAUUGGUGCGACUGUUUCCCCCUUCCGUCAAAUUGCUGUCUAGAUGUUUCUCUCUGACCCCAAUUUUCUCGGAGUUUGGGAUUAUCAAUCUAAAAUCAGAGGCAGGGAGGAACUUGGAUUGUCCUUCAGUAAAAUUCCACUUUGAUGCGCAAAGCGAACUUGAAUUUCUGCUUGGCCUACCACAGGCCUGCAACAUGCACUUUCUCCUCGAGGGAACUGCCACUCACUGACACGGACAACAGUAAAGGAACUUGGUCUUCACUAUGCCUCAUAGUGGUGGGUCACACUGCCCAGGAGGAACCCGCAAUGAGACCGGCAAAUGCCUUAACCAUCUCAUUGUCUCAUCAGGAAGAAGCUUAAAUGACUCUUCUUGCUCACAUACUUCCUGGGCAAACAUGUCUGCUCUGUUGGGAUAAAGGACGCUCUAGACCAGGCUCUGCUGAAAGAUCCAGGGCAAAGGUUCCUGACAAGACUAUGUCCAGCCUCAAAUAAGGCCACAGAAGAGCCCAGGCUCGCUGACGAGCACCGGCUCCGAGGCAGUCACAUCAGGAGACAGAAACAGACAUGUUGGUGCUGCCCUCUCAGGUCAGUGCAAAUGCCACUUGAGGAGGGCUGAGAGCUUUGCAGCAUAAAAUGACCAGAACAAGGAGAAACACAGAUGCAAUGGCAAUAGCUGGCAAUUCGCACAUGGCGUCAAACACCACUGCCACAGAAGCUUUUUAGCUACAAGCCACGCUAUGCAACCUUUAAGCAAAACAUUAUUGAUUUUGUGGUUGUAAAAACAUACCUUCAACUGCAGAACUCAGUUUUAUGACACCUUGAAUAAAAACAAAAAGUGGCAGUUAUAUAAUGGACCCAAAUCGCCUUUUCCAGGCUUCUCAUAACACACGCAUGCUUCAGAUUUGGAUUUUUCUUUUUCUGCUGGCAUUGCAAGAACGUAACUAAACAAAUAUCAACUUCAAAAAUAAAAUAAUUUUUAGUCUUAA
rnacentral:lncRNA from 1 species